CCUACGAGUUGCAAGAGAUGUAAACAAUUGUGUAAAAUAACGAAACGGGCAUUCGUAUUAGCUUGGACAUUGUGCCGUAUUCGGUCUCACCUAACGACCUCGAGCGUUUUGUGUAUCUUCGCUUGUAUCGAUCCAAAUUGAUCCCACAUAUCACGAUACAGUCUUUGUUGAGAGCCACUCCAUGAGAACGACUAAUGGGUAGAAGAUGGACGAUGGACAGAUAUGGAGAACAGAACGGCGCAUCGCGUUAGUCCAAACCAAACAAAUAGGCCGCAACAAAACCAAAAGAAAAAACCAUACAUGCGUUAUCUACAAUGUUGGGAUGCUGGAAGCCUGUUUUUCAAGCUUGUGGACUAAUUUUACAACUGACCGUCGUCAAAUCCAGGAAGAUGGGAUAUAUAUCGAAAUACGAAUACGCGAAUUCACCGGCAGAUGAAAAUAUCUCGAGUAAUUCUGUAUUUUAGGCAAAAUAAUAGACAACGCUUAUAUAUAGACGAGCACGCAGCAUGAUAUUCGUGAACUUGCGUAUGAUCGAAGGCAGAUAUGGUUAAAGCAUCUUCAUAUCACGUAAUAAAUGAUGAAAUAAAUGAAAUAAAAGUAAGACUGCAA